UCGAGAAUCUUCGGCAAUGGGCGCAAGCCUGACCGAGCGACGCCGCGUGUGGGAUGAAGGCCCUUGGGUUGUAAACCACUGUCAGAGGGGAUGAAGUGCCGGAGGGUUAUCUCUCCGGUUUGACAUAGCCUCAGAGGAAGCACGGGCUAAGUUCGUGCCAGCAGCCGCGGUAAUACGAACUGUGCAAACGUUAUUCGGAAUCACUGGGCUUACAGGGUGCGUAGGCGGCCUGUCAAGUAGGGUGUGAAAGCCCCCGGCUCAACCGGGGAAUUGCGCCCUAAACUGUCGGGCUGGAGUGAGAUAGGGGUGUGUGGAACUUCCGGUGGAGCGGUGAAAUGUGUUGAUAUCGGAAGGAACGCCGGUGGCGAAAGCGACACACUGGAUCUUGUCUGACGCUGAGGCACGAAAGCCAGGGGAGCGAACG
rnacentral:rRNA from 1 species